CUUGAAACACGGACCCAAGGAGUCUAGCAUGUGCGCGAGUCAUUGGGAAUUACUAAACCUAAAGGCGCAAUGAAAGUGAAGGUCCGCCUUGCGCGGACCAAGGGAAGAUGGGCGCGUCCGGUGAUUACCACGGCCGCCCCGCACUCCCGGGGCGUCUCAUUCUCAUCGCGAGAAGAGGCGCACCAAGAGCGUACACGCUGGGACCCGAAAGAUGGUGAACUAUGCCUGGUCAGGACGAAGUCAGGGGAAACCCUGAUGGAGGUCCGUAGCGAUUCUGACGUGCAAAUCGAUCGUCGGAACUGGGUAUAGGGGCGAAAGACUAAUCGAACCAUCUAGUAGCUGGUUCCCUCCGAAGUUUCCCUCAGGAUAGCUGGCGCUCGUCGCAUACGAGUCUCAUCCGGUAAAGCGAAUGAUUAGAGGCAUUGGGGUCGAAACGGCCUCAACCUAUUCUCAAACUUUAAAUGGGUGAGAUCUCCGGCUUGCUCAAACAUUUUUUAAAUGAAGCCGUGAGAAACGGAUCAGAGUGCCAAGUGGGCCAUUUUUGGUAAGCAGAACUGGCGCUGUGGGAUGAACCAAACGCCGAGUUAAAGCGCCUAAAUCGACGCUUAUGGGAUACCAUGAAAGGCGUUGGUAACUUAAGACAGCAGGACGGUGGCCAUGGAAGUCGGAAUCCG
rnacentral:rRNA from 1 species